GGAAUAAUGCUGGGUUUAUAAAUUUUGGGAAACCACUUGUCUGGGAACAUCUGAUUUUCUUAACCGGAUUUAGCAAAGAAAGGAGGCCGCCAGGCGUUUAUGGGAGGCCAGACUGCAAGUCCUAGGAGGGUCUUGCAACCUCAACACUUGCCUGGCGCAUAGUAGGUGCUCCUGGAAUGAACCGACAUACACCAACGGAACAAGUUUGUGUGUACCACGUCUUCUCAUCACAGGCACCUGGACGACCUGCCGCCUGACUCCUUGCUUGUCCUCAGGGGACCACUCAUCGUCCAGGCUCUGCCCAGGAAGUCACUUGGUCAAUGUUGCUGGUUAUGGAAAUGGCUGGGGAAGCAGCCACAGCCAUUUCUUUCCUAUGAUUGCUUGUGUCCUUUAGGUAAAGAUAUUUUUUGGAUCCCUACCUUCUCCCUCCCAGCAGAGUGAUCUUGGAAAACAGGUACAGAAAUAGCCAACCACGGGGCUGCGUGAGACAUGAUGGAGGCAUCGAGUUUAAAGGCUUUGGAACGAUUUCCAACUGUCCUUUGAUCACCCAACAUUUCUGAUGUGGCCUGGCCAUUUCCUUUUCCAAAGACCCGCACGCUCGAGUCAAGCAUCAGGGAACCCAUCAGAAUGCCCGGUGCCCCGCUUGGUGAGCAUGGAAAAAGCAGACAGGGAGACUGCCGGGGCCCCGUCGGAUUCCAGGAACCAGCGGUUGCGUUAGACACCAGCCAGAAAGAGAGGCUGUUGCCCAAGACAAAGACAAAGACAGCCCCUCGUCUCCCUGCAGCUCCCUAACUCUGUCCUAUGCCGUUUCUUCGUUCCCCUUUUCUACCCCAGCGAUCCUCUCAAUGUCAUCACGUGUACGUGUGGCAUGCACGGGUAUGCACAUGCACGUGUGUGUGUGUGUGUGUGUGUGUGCGCGCGCACGCGCACGGGUCCUCUUUAAAUGUGUGCUGACUCCUUUCCGCCCCCCGCCGCCUGUCCUGGUCCUGUCCCCACGUCCCAGUUCUCCUGCUCUCUGUCUAGCCUUCUGUCUCUCCGUGCAGAUAGGGUUGGAAUUCCAGGACAUCUGAGAUUGCCGAGACACACAAACAAACAAGGCCAGUUACGGCUGCCCAGCCCCACAGCCCCCAGGCUAUCUGCCGUGGGGUUUAUCCUGCUCACUGGAGACGGCUUCCUGGCUGGCUCUGCUCAGGCUCCACGAAGUCUCAUCUCCCUUGCGUGCAGGGGAGCGGGGGCAGUCGGGGGCAGUGGGGGAGCCUGUGCUCAGGCAGCGGGAGAGAUAAGAGAAGAAUGAGGAAGCAGGUGGUAGGGGUUGGCAGGGUGCCUCCAGGGGUUCCGCCAGUUGGGAAGCCCCUGGGAGGAAACCUGACCUCCUUCUUCCCUGAGGAGCCCCUCAGGAGGCAGCAGGAAGGUCAUGCAGCUCAGUUCUGGGGCCUGCUCCACUGAGGCCCUGUCGCCUGCUGGCCCCGCCCCCAGCCUUGGUGAUCCCGGAUGAGCUACACAGCUUCUGUGAGCUGGGGAGUGGGUAGGUGGGGUGUGGGGAUAGGCGACCGACUCCUGGGAGGUGCUCAGUAAACUCGAGGCAUUUGAGAGAGAGCAUGGGGUUGGUGGACAUAAGCAGGUGUUGGAGUCAGAGAGACUUGGGUGGGGCCCCUGGCACUGCCACCACUGCAUUACUUUCACAAGUGGCCUUGAUUUCUCAGUGCCUUAGUUUUCCUCUUCCGGCUAUAUGAGAGGAUGAGUGCCUCAUGCAGUGGACACAGCUCAAUAAACAGAGGCCGGGGUUAUGUUCAGAUGAAGGCAUUUCCUCUAAACAUGUACAGUACUCCUCCCUUAUCCACACCCCCUUAUCCCCCAUCAGUCAUUCCAAGACCCCCAGCGCAUGCCCGAAACCAUGGAGAGUACUGAACCCUACAUAUACUAUAUUUUUUCCAAUAUAUACAUACCUAUGGUAAAGUUUAAUGUAUAAAUCACAGUAAGAGAUUAACAGUCAUAAAAUACAAUUAUAACAAUAUACUGUAAUAAAAGC